AAACCAACCGGGAUUGCCUCAGUAACGGCGAGUGAAGCGGCAAAAGCUCAAAUUUGGAAUCUGGCGCCUUCGGCGUCCGAGUUGUAAUUUGAAGACUCUAUCUUGGAAUGCGGCGCUGUUGAAGUUCCUUGGAACAGGACGUCACAGAGGGUGAGAAUCCCGUGCGAUGGCAGCCGCGGACCGUGUAAGUUAGUGUCGACGAGUCGAGUUGUUUGGGAAUGCAGCUCUAAGUGGGUGGUAAACUCCAUCUAAAGCUAAAUAUUGGCGAGAGACCGAUAGCGAACAAGUACAGUGAUGGAAAGAUGAAAAGAACUUUGAAAAGAGAGUGAAAAAGUACGUGAAAUUGUUGAAAGGGAAGGGCUUGAGAUCAGACAUGCCUUCGGGCAGGCCAGCAUCAGCUGGAAGGGGCAGACAAGGGCGCCGCAAUGUGGCCUGGCUUCGGCGAGGUGUUAUAGGCGGCGUCGAUGUGUCCACUUCCGGCUGAGGACCGCGCUUCGGCAAGGAUGCUGGCGUAAUGAUCCCCAGCCGC
rnacentral:rRNA from 2 species